AGGGUCUAACUGGGACUGGUCCCCCCCAGUCCAGGGUCUAACUGGGACUGGUCCCCCCCCAGUCUAGGGUCUAACUGGGACUGGUCCCCGCCCCCCCUCAGCGCCUCACCGUCCAGCUCCAGGCAGAUGUGCUGCAGGCUCAUCCCCCGGAACAGCACGCCCUCCCGCUCGCCGUACAGCACCACCCUGCCCACCCGGCCCAUCAGCGCCGGGUCCCGCACGAUGGUGGCGCAGUUCUGCGUCACGUGGUACUCCCGCUCCAGGAACUCCUCCAGCCGCUGGGUGGCCCUGCCGGCCGGAGCUGGAGCCCCUCCCGCGGCGGCGGCGGCGGCGGCGGCGGCGGACCGACUCGCCCCCUUCCUCCAGCAGCAGCAGCUGGCUGAGGAUGGCCACCUGCCGCCGCACCCGGGUGCCCGUGAGCGCGCCGGGGUUCUUGGCGCCGCUGGCGCGCGCCAGGUUCCGCAGGAGGUCGGUGCCGCGCAGCGGCGUGGCCGGCGAGUGGUACGGCCGGGAGAACACGUAGGGGCUGCCCGGGUCCACGCCCACGUUGGGGCUGGUCUGCAGCAGCAGCUCCAGGCACGCCUCGCUGUGCGGCGGCAGGAUGAGCGGCUGCACGCGGCCCCGCUUGCCCACCACCCCGCCCGCGGCAGGUGGCAGAGGACGUGGCGCUCGAAGGGCGAGAGGAGGGCCUCCGUGCCGGUGGGCGGGGCCGGCGGCGGAGGGGCGGGGCCGCCGGCGGCCGGGGCCGGCGGGGCGGGCGGCGGCGGCGGCGGCAGGGUGCGGUUGCGGUAGUCCUGCAGCGAGAGUUUGGCCACCUCGCACUCGCGGUGGCGGUUGUAGAGGAUGAGCAGCGAGAGGCUGGAGUGGCACAGCAGGCGCCACGCCUCGGCCGAGUGCGGCGAGCGCGUGAGCGACAGGAAGGAGGCGUGCUGCUGCCGGCGCAGGUACAGCACCAGGCAGGACAGCGAGGACAGCAGCGGCGAGAUGUGCUGUCGGUGGGCGCUGGGGAGAGACGGGGGGGAGAACACGGCGGUUAGUAGGGGAGGGGAUCUCUUGGCACCUCACGAUUGGAUUAUGAGGUCAACGAUUGGAUUAUGAGGUCAACGAUUGGAUUAUGAGGUCAACGAUUGGAUUAUAAAGUCAACGAUUGGAUUAUGAGGUCAACGAUUGGAUUAUAAAGUCAACGAUUGGAUUAUGAGGUCAACGUUUGGAUUAUAAAGUCAACGAUUGGAUUAUGAGAUCAACGAUUGGAUUAUGAGGUCAACGAUUGGAUUAUAAAGUCAACGAUUGGAUUAUGAGGUCAACGAUUGGAUUAUGAGGUCAACGUUUGGAUUAUGAGGUCAACGAUUGGAUUAUGAGGUCAACGAUUGGAUUAUGAGGUCAAUGAUUCGAUUAUGAGGUCAACGAUUCGAUUCUAAAACGAUUAUCGAUGCAAAAAAAUUCGUAAUUUUCAUAAAUAUAUCUAUACAUCUGAGUUUGCUAAACACUUCCUACUUUUGUGAUGAUCAUUGAAGACAUCAACAGAUGAAUUAACUUAUCUAAUAUUUUAUUAGAGAGAAAGCUUUUGUCACAAAUAUGACUUUCUAUGAACAAUGCAAUAAUCAAUGCAGCUUGCAUUGCAACACACUAUGGAAGCAUGUAAAAAAUAGGUUUCAGUUUUCUUUUCUUUCUAAACUUUCUUUUCUAUGUCAUUAAAGAAAAAGCUGCUCUUGAAUUAGAAGGAGUUCUUGUGUCUGGCCGUGAGUUUAAGUGCAUGGUAUGCGUAGGCUGAAUCGCAAUGGUGUCAAGACAAAUCAGAUUGGCCAAUACAGACUGAAGAAGAAAAAUUAAAUCACCUUAAAAUUACUAAAAUUAUCCCUCUCUGGCGAACAGAAUGUUGCAGCAGGCGAACAAAUGUAAAAACAUUUAUUUAUUUUAAUUCAGAUUAUUCAUUUAUCUGCAUCGAGACGGAAUCGUUCUAGAGAGAAUCGCGAUGCAUCGAAGAAUCAGUUAUUUCUCCCACCCCCAGCGGUUAUAGUACUUGUGAUAUGACGGCGUCUACCACGGCUUCUCACCAACCACAAAUCAAGAAGGAUGUUUGGGGACCAUGGCGACGGCAUCAGAAGUUAAAACACAUUCUGCACGCUCACAGGAAAUAGUGAUUCAUUUUAUUAUUUUUAUCUUCUCUAAUAUUGCAGCAAAGUGAGGUCAUCAGAGGGGGAAUCAAUAUCAGAUGGAGAAGGGGGUCUGCUCUGCUUGAAUAUCAUUUCAUUCUGUCGUUUUGAGAGAUGGCCAGCGCACAGCCAUAACUCACUCACACUGACGUCGUUGUGUCGAGGUGUCCCUAUCGUCUGAGCAGAGUCUCCAAGCUAGUGGCAACAUCAAGUCGGCGCUACAAAUUAAGGUUUCUUGCCACCAACGUUACGCUCGCUUUUUCCCGCCCACAAUAUGCUUGGUUGCUAGGCGACAGACGCCACCACUGCACAGCAGGCCACUGUCGCUGAACACCGGACACACACACACACACACACACACACACACACACACACACACACACACACACACACACACACACACACACACACACACACACACACACACACACACACCUGAGCAGCUCUCCGUUGGUCUCCUCCGGCGCGUCCUCCUCCUCCUCCUCGCCCUCGGCGCUCAGCUCUAGCUCCUCCUCCUGGUCCAGGUGGGGCUCCGGCGUGGGCGGGGGCGCCAGCUCCUCCUUCUCCACCUUCUGCUGCUCCUCCUGCUUCUCCCUCUUCAUCCUCUGGCCCCUCCGGGGGGCGGGCGGCGAGGAGGCCGGCGCCGGAGGGGGCGGGGCCACCUGCGGCGGCGGGGCGGCCGGGGGCGGCGGUGGCGAGGGGCUCUUGACCCGGGACGCCGCCUGACAGGCGCCGGCGCCGCGCUUGGCGGCCGGCGCCGUCGGCCCGCCGCCCUUCCUGCUGCCGGCGGCGGCGGCGGCGGCGGGCGGGGCCAGGGACGGCGGCGACAGGGAGAGCGAGAAGGAGACGGCGGGGCCGGCCGAGCGCGUGGCGGGCGACUCCCGCUCCCGGGAGGAGGAGGAGGAGGAGGAGGAGGAGAAGAGCGGCGGCGGGGUGGGGUUGGAGGAGGACGAGGGCUGCGGGACGGCGAAGGAGUGGCCGUGCGGCGCGGCGGCGGCGGCGCAGGGGGCCGACGCGGAGGAGGUGGAGGAGGAGGCGGCGCGCGCGUGCGAGCCGCCGCCGCCGUUAGCGUGCAGGUGCGCUAGCUCCAUGGCGGCGCGCACCUCGGGCUGCCCCGCGUGGUGCUUCUCCAGGUGGCGUGCCAGCGAGCGGUAGUGGCGCCCGCAGUACGGGCAGUGCUGCCGCCGGCUCCCUGCCGCCGCCGCCGCCACGCCCGACGCCCCCCCGAUGUUGAUGUUGAUGUUGUUGUUGAUGUUGGUGGUGGGCGGGGCCAGCGCGCUCACCGGCGGCGGCGGCUGCGACUGGGAGCGGGGGGGCGGGGCCGCCGAGGGCCGCGGGAACGAGGAGCAGGGGCGGCCGGGCCCGCGGGACGAGGUGGCCGCCGCCGCCGCCGCCGGUGUGGGGGGCGGCGGGGCGGAGCUCUUCUUCUUGGGGUUGACGGCGGCGGCGGCCAUCUUGCGCUUCUUGCGGCGCCGGAGCAUGCGGCCGCGCAUCUCCUCCAGGUCCUCUUCCUCGUCAUCGUCGUCGUCGUCGUCUUCCUCCUCCUCCUCCUCUUCCUCCUCCUCCUCGCGGUCCGAGUCGCUGGGCUCAGAGUGCGUGAGGGGGGAGGAGGAGGGGGAGAGCGACCAGGAGGGGGUGAGGUAAUCCGAGACCGAGAGGGAGAGAGGGUGUGGCCCUGCCUCUUCCUCCUGGGGGGGGGGGGGGUCCAGAACAGAAAGGGCGCCCGGUGAGACGCGGCAAACAUCAAACACACACACACAGCCUCCGCGUGUUUAAUAAUGAUAUAAUAAUAAAUUAAAUUCAUGUAGCGCUUUCCUCGUACUCAAAGCGCUUGAGCUAAUGAGGCGUUUAGGUUCAAGGCCCCCCCGUUUGGACCCGUCAACAUUAGAUCGGUUCCAUCUGUUCUUGAUCUAAAACGCUCUUUCAUCGUACUACCACUACGAUAUCAUCACCUCCCCGCGUAUUAACCUCUACCCUAGAAAUCGAGUGCAAGAUUAAUGUUCACCUUCAUCAUGCAAGUGUGCGUGCGUGCGUUUGUGUGUGUUUUUUUUUUGUUAUUAAGAGUAUGUUGUAUGAAUAUGUUCUAUAUAUGCUAUUGUACUUUUCUGAGG
ensembl:lncRNA